rnacentral:rRNA from 1 species
AGUGAACGCUGGCGGUAGGCCUAACACAUGCAAGUCGAACGGCAGCACAGUAAGAGCUUGCUCUUACGGGUGGCGAGUGGCGGACGGGUGAGGAAUACAUGGAAUCUACUUUUUCGGGGGGGAUAACGUAGGGAAACUUACGCUAAUACCGCAUACGACCUACGGGUGAAAGGAAGGGAUCUUCGGAACUUGCGCGAUUGAAUGAGCCGAUGUCGGAUUAGCUAGUUGGCGGGGUAAAGGCCCACCAAGGCGACGAUCCGUAGCUGGUCUGAGAGGAUGAUCAGCCACACUGGAACUGAGACACGGUCCAGACUCCUACGGGAGGCAGCAGUGGGGAAUAUUGGACAAUGGGCGCAAGCCUGAUCCAGCCAUACCGCGUGGGUGAAGAAGGCCUUCGGGUUGUAAAGCCCUUUUGUUGGGAAAGAAAAGCAGCAGGUUAAUACCCCGCUGUUCUGACGGUACCCAAAGAAUAAGCACCGGCUAACUUCGUG